AUACGUAGGGGGCAAGCGUUAUCCGGAAUUACUGGGUGUAAAGGGAGCGUAGGCGGCAUGGUAAGUUAGAUGUGAAAGCCCGUGGCUUAACCGCGAGGAUUGCAUUUAAAACUAUCAAGCUAGAGUACAGGAGAGGAAAGCGGAAUUCCUAGUGUAGCGGUGAAAUGCGUAGAUAUUAGGAAGAACACCAGUGGCGAAGGCGGCUUUCUGGACUGAAACUGACGCUGAAGCUCGAAAGCGUGGGGAGCGAACAGGAUUAGAUACCCUGGUAGUCCACGCCGUAAACGAUGAGUGCUAGGUGUUGGAGGGGAACCUUCGGUGCCGCAGCAAACGCAAUAAGCACUCCACCUGGGGAGUACGACCGCAAGGUUGAA
rnacentral:rRNA from 1 species